GACGAGUGGCGCACGGGUGCGCAACGCGUAUAGAACCUACCCUGUACAGGGGGAUAGCCCGGAGAAAUCCGGAUUAAUACCCCGUAGUANUUAGAAUUGGCAUCGAUUUUAAUUUAAAGCUUCGGCGGUACAGGAUGGCUAUGCGUCCUAUUAGCCAGAUGGUGAGGUAACGGCUCACCAUAGCUAUGAUAGGUAGGGGCCCUGAGAGGGGGAUCCCCCACACUGGUACUGAGACACGGACCAGACUCCUACGGGAGGCAGCAGUGAGGAAUAUUGGACAAUGGGCUCACGCCUGAUCCAGCCAUGCCGCGUGCAGGAAGACAGCCCUAUGGGUUGUAAACUGCUUUUAUACGGGAAGAAUAAGGGGCACGUGUGCCCUGGUGACGGUACCGUAAGAA
rnacentral:rRNA from 1 species